AUUCUUACCUGGCGAAGGAGAUAGCACGGUCACCAAGGGGGCUUUCCCAGGGUGAGGCUUGUCCAUUGCAUCCCAGAUGGGCUGACCCCUGUGAUUUCCCCAAAUGUGGGAAACUCGACUGCGAAAUUUGUGGUAAUGGGCGACUGCGUUCACGCCCUCCCCUU
ensembl:snRNA U1 U1 spliceosomal RNA